CAGGUGCUGACGUUUCUGAUCCAGUUUCUCAGCGAGAACCUUUUCUCCUGCACAGCCCCGCACCUUUGACGCCACCUCCACUUCACCUUUAAAACUUUUGAGUCAUAUGAUUUUUUUUGUCCUAACACACACACACACACACACACAAAACCGAGUUCGGAGUAAGCCUGUGCCUUUAAGGAGGAUAGGCGGUGAUUUUGACGUCACUACCUUCCCCGCCCCUUAGGCUCCAACUGGUCGGGACCGGAGCUGGAGCCUCCCAGCCGGCCAGGUUAGCACGUGGAUGCCAAGGGGCCAACCAUAAGCUUUCCCGGAGAAAAGGCCUUGCGGCUCUCCACUGCUCAAAACUCCCAGUUAACAGGGCGGAGAGCUUGCAAUCCGAUGAAGUAGUCGGGUAACUGAAGAGUCCAAGGGAAGUCGCCCUUUCCAUUCCCUUCCCACCUCAAGCUGGGAAAUGACAUAAAAUCACUUCAAAGAUCCAGCCCCCAUCAAGGUCCUAUACGACCUCAAAGUUAAUGGUUUACCCAACAGUUUCACAGCCAACAGCGAAAAAAUUAUUCUUCCUGUUUUACAGAAAAGGAAACUAAUACUUUCCUAAUGUGAGAUAGAACCCAGACCCUCCUCCACAAAAACACACUCUUCCAUUUUACAGACGAGAAAACGGAGUCCCUGGAGGUCACUCAAAAAAAAAAAAAAAAAAAAGUAAAAGAAAAGAAAAAAGAAAAAGAAAGUUCUCAGUUAGGUGGAUCUACUCCCCCAGCACCACUAGGGGAGUAGAUCUGAGCACGUGUGUGCGUGGGUGGGAAGGCAGGUCCUGGUUUCCAAUGUCUCACUACCUUCUUCAGUGGUUGUGAAGCAAGAUUUAAAGUUAGGUAGUCAGUGUAGUAAGAUCUAAAAUGGAGGCCAUGUUGAGAAUGAAUUCUGGGAAAUGCAGGACAACUCAUGGAAUGUUAAUGAAGUCCAGGAAAAAGCCCAAGGCUAGAGCCCAUCCCAAAGAAGUGUUAAUGAACCGCCCCCAGCAAACUUGAAGAUGCUAACUCCGAAGUCCUUCCUGCCCAGAUUACUUCUUUGGCCCACCUGUGUCCCAGCCUUCAGGCCUUCCCACCUACAUUCCAUCACUGAAAGAACUAUAAAAAGGGGAAACAACCGAACUUCCACGGAUUCCAUCUCUUGGGUCCCCUUCUUCCUCCCGGAGAAGUCUUUUCUGCUGUCCUUUAAUAAACUUCUAAUUUCUACUCUGCUUCUCUGGUG
rnacentral:lncRNA from 1 species